GGCGGUGUAGCUCAGCGGUUAGAGCACACGGUUCAUACCCGUGAGGCCACUGGUUCGAAUCCAGUCACCGCUACCA
rnacentral:tRNA from 2 species